rnacentral:rRNA from 1 species
GCGUGCCUAAUACAUGCAAGUCGAACGAGUUCUCGUUGAUGAUCGGUGCUUGCACCGAGAUUCAACAUGGAACGAGUGGCGGACGGGUGAGUAACACGUGGGUAACCUGCCCUUAAGUGGGGGAUAACAUUUGGAAACAGAUGCUAAUACCGCAUAGAUCCAAGAACCGCAUGGUUCUUGGCUGAAAGAUGGCAGUAAGCUAUCGCUUUUGGAUGGACCCGCGGCGUAUUAGCUAUUGGUGAGGUAAUGGCUCACCAAGGCGAUGAUACGUAGCCGAACUGAGAGGUUGAUCGGCCACAUUGGGACUGAGACACGGCCCAAACUCCUACGGGAGGCAGCAGUAGGGAAUCUUCCACAAUGGACGCAAGUCUGAUGGAGCAACGCCGCGUGAGUGAAGAAGGCUUUCGGGUCGUAAAACUCUGUUGUUGGAGAAGAAUGGUCGGCAGAGUAACUGUUGUCGGCGUGACGGUAUCCAACCAGAAAGCCACGGCUAACUACGUGCCAGCAGCCGCGGUAAUACGUAGGUGGCAAGCGUUAUCCGGAUUUAUUGGGCGUAAAGCGAGCGCAAGCGGUUUUUUAAGUCUGAUGUGAAAGCCCUCGGCUUAACCGAAGAAGCGCAUCGGAAACUGGGAAACUUGAGUGCAGAAGAGGACAGUGGAACUCCAUGUGUAGCGGUGAAAUGCGUAGAUAUAUGGAAGAACACCAGUGGCUAAGGCGGCUGUCUGGUCUGUAACUGACGCUUGAGGCUAGAAAGCAUGGGUAACGAACAGGAUUAGAAUACCAUGGAAGUCCAUACCGUAAAGGAUGAAUGCUAGGUGUUGGAGGGUUUCCGCCCUUCAGUGCCGCAGCUAACGCAUUAAUCAUUCCGCCUGGGGAGUACGACCGCAAGGUUGAAACUCAAAGGAAUUGACGGGGGCCCGCACAAGCGGUGGAGCAUGUGGUUUAAUUCGAAGCAACGCGAAGAACCUUACCAGGUCUUGACAUCUUUUGAUCACCUGAGAGAUCAGGUUUCCCUUUCGGGGGCAAAAUGACAGGUGGUGCAUGUUGUCGUCAGCUCGUGUCGU